GACUGUAAAUUAGUCGUUUCUCACAUUCUUGCUUCUAUAAAUGAUGUUUCUUGUCUAAGAACAGAAACUGGACUUGUCUUUAAUUGCAUCCUGUUUUUUUCAGACUAUUGCUCUAAUUUGUCAAGAUCACUUGGAAUUCUGAUCGUGUUCUCCUCCAUACUUGGAGCCUCCCCAGCUUUGUGGCAUCCGCAAAUUUAAUAAGGACACUCUUUAUUCUAUCAUUGAAGUUCCUAAUGAAAAUAUUUAACAAUGUCAGGCUUAGGAUAGACCCCUGUGGAGACACAUUUGAUAUAUCAUCCCUAUUUACAACAAACCACUGGGAAGACGUGAGCAGAACAUUACUCAGCUGUCAGGAUACAGGACUGUGCUGCUGAGCAGAGAACAAGUGAAUAUAUUUUACAGAGCUGCAAAUCAAGCACAAAGAGGAUGGAGGCUGAGGCCUAAAGCCAUGAUUUUGUCUUCAUGCCUGUGUGCAACAUAUUUCAAGGACAGAGCACUGGACUGUAAACAAAAGGGACAGCUKUAAGGUCUCCAUAAGGAAUCCAAACAUCACAGCAGAAGCGAAGCAUUUUGGCAGCACUUGCCUUGAGUAUCUGCUCAGUGCAAUGGACCCAACU